GCAUAUCAAUAAGCGGAGGAAAAGAAAAUAACAAUGAUUCCCCUAGUAACUGCGAGUGAAGAGGGACAAGCUCAAAUUUUAAAUCUGUUAGGUUUUACCUGACCGAGUUGUAAUUUGAAGAUGCGUUUUCCGCGUAUUUGGUCAAUCCAAGUCCUAUUGAAUGAGGCAUCAUGGAGGGUGAUAAUCCCGUCCGGUUGAUCAUUGCGUUUUACGAUACGCUUUCAAAGAGUCAAGUUGUUUGGGAUUGCAGCUUAAAAUGGGAGGUAAAUUUCUCCUAAGGCUAAAUAACGGCGAGAGACCGAUAGCGAACAAGUACCGUGAGGGAAAGAUGAAAAGAACUUUGAAAAGAGAGUUAAAUAGUACGUGAAAUUGUUGAAAGGGAAACGAUUGAAGCCAGUCGUACCUGUGGGUAAUCAGCCUUUUGGGUGUGAUUAUGUGGAGUGUGAAGAGUUAAACGCCUUUAUGCCUGCAUAUUCGUGCACUUUGGGUGUAUUUACCCGUGUGGUAAGUUAACAUCAAUUUUGGUCGUCAUAGAAUGGCUGGAGGAAUGUAGCUUCGAUCUCGUAUUGAAGUGUUAUAGCCUUCGGUAGAUGUGGUGAUCGGGAUUGAGGAUUGCAACGAUACCCUUCGGGGCUAACCCGUUAGAUCAAAUUGAUGGUCGAUGGGUUACAUUCGUUUAGGAUGUUGACGUAAUGGCUUUAAACGAC
rnacentral:rRNA from 1 species